GCCCGAAUGGUGUAAUAGGCAAUCGCGCCGCAUUCAAACUGCGGAAAAUGGGGGUUCGAAUCCCUCUUCGGGCA
rnacentral:tRNA from 1 species